rnacentral:rRNA from 1 species
GAUGAACGCUGGCGGCGUGCCUAAUACAUGCAAGUCGAGCGAACAGACGAGGAGCUUGCUCCUCUGACGUUAGCGGCGGACGGGUGAGUAACACGUGGAUAACCUACCUAUAAGACUGGGAUAACUUCGGGAAACCGGAGCUAAUACCGGAUAAUAUAUUGAACCGCAUGGUUCAAUAGUGAAAGACGGUUUUGCUGUCACUUAUAGAUGGAUCCGCGCCGCAUUAGCUAGUCGGUAAGGUAACGGCUUACCAAGGCAACGAUGCGUAGCCGACCUGAGAGGGUGAUCGGCCACACUGGAACUGAGGCACGGUCCAGACUCCUACGGGAGGCAGCAGUAGGGAAUCUUCCGCAAUGGGCGAAAGCCUGACGGAGCAACGCCGCGUGAGUGAUGAAGGUCUUCGGAUCGUAAAACUCUGUUAUUAGGGAAGAACAAAUGUGUAAGUAACUAUGCACGUCUUGACGGUACCUAAUCAGAAAGCCACGGCUAACUACGUG